AUUGAACGCUGGCGGCAGGCCUAACACAUGCAAGUCGAACGGUAACAGAAAGCAGCUUGCUGCUUUGCUGACGAGUGGCGGACGGGUGAGUAAUGUCUGGGAAACUGCCUGAUGGAGGGGGAUAACUACUGGAAACGGUAGCUAAUACCGCAUAACGUCGCAAGACCAAAGAGGGGGACCUUCGGGCCUCUUGCCAUCGGAUGUGCCCAGAUGGGGUUAGCUAGUAGGUGGGGUAACGGCUCACCUAGGCGACGAUCCCUAGCUGGUCUGAGAGGAUGACCAGCCACACUGGAACUGAGACACGGUCCAGACUCCGACGGGAGGCAGCAGUGGGGAAUAUUGCCCAAUGGGCGGAAGCCUGAUGCAGCCAUGCCGCGUGUAUGCAGAAGGCCUUCGGGUUGUAAAGUACUUUCAGCGGGGAGGAAGGGAGUAAAGUUAAUACCUUUGCUCAUUGACGUUACCCGCAGAAGAAGCACCGGCUAACUCCGUG
rnacentral:rRNA from 1 species